GGUUGUAUGGUGUAGUGGUUUGAGUGUUGGACUACAACUCUAGGGACUAGGGUUCAAUUACCAGAUCGGCCA